AGCUUCAUUUACGGACCGAUUGUACUUCGGCUUUCUGUAGGCAAAGGAGUCUGGAGAGAUAAGGUAUAAGUUAUGCUGAGAUUCAAGUCCAUCAACUAUCAAAUCUGAGUCGUACACGUUGGCAAUGACACACUAUGAUGCUAUGAGAAUCGCUAAUACGAAAGUCAACCCUUUGGUCAAAGCGGCACCUUUAGGGUCCUAAACCCUAAAAUCUUUGAUCUAAAGUCUACGAACUUCAGGUACAUGAACGUAAGUUUUUACAA